UCUGUUAAAAUUUUCGUUGUUGUAUUAUUAAGUUUUGUCAUAUUUAUUCAAAUGAAUUUCAAAAAUUUCUUGUUCAUAUUUUUUUUUCGUCAUGUUUACUCGCGGAAAUAUAAAAAAAAGUUGCUUGUACAGUCAUUAAUUUUAUUUUUAAAAUUAUUUUUAUUUUUGUUACAAAAGCCUGUCUGCUUCCUCUGUGUUAAAUCCACAAAUACUGUAUACUGUCGCUUGAACAUCUGUGAACUUCCAAGGCAGAUUUUGCUAGAUUAGUAAUUAUGGAAAGUCUCGCGGUUUUACGACAUGAACGGGCGAGAAAUGUGGUAACCAGAUUUUUGGAGUUUGAGUCUGAAGUCUCUCCAAGCUGGGAUGUUCGCUACAUUUGCGCAGGUGUUGUUUUCGCGGGAAUUCCCCUCGCUGCUUCACUCCCUAACCACCUAUGUUAUUUAUGGUACACACAGCGGACGAUACUUGCUGCUUGGUGGAUGAAGACAGGCAGACAAUUGGGACCUGAAAGCUUAAUUUUUUUUAUGGUCACCCGUCUCUACGGAAUUUAGAUAAUUAAACAGCAUUUUGGUAGACAGCUCAUUUUGACUGAAGUCAUCUUUUUGUUCAUAUUUUGGAAGCAAUAUUGUUUUGCGUUAAUCCAGCAAAUCAUUUGAAUUUACCCUAAUACUUCAGUGAAGAAUGUUGAAGAAACUCCAUAUUCUCCUGCAGCUAACCCUUCUCUACACAACACUGUUAUCUCUCUCUUGUUUGUGGAUUAUUCUGCGUGGAAAAUGAUCUCAGUGCAAUCGUGUACAAAUGGUGUAAUCCUAGGCACUGCCGUAUCUUCAUAUAUAAUUUAUGCAGGUACUCCAGAAAAAAGUUAGGACUGCUACAUGCUCACAUCAUCACUGAAGUCUCUCCCAUGUACCUGUUGAACGCGACCUGCGCGUUGCAUACACUCAUCGGAUUAGGGGUUAAUAUAGAGUUGGUUACUGGAAAAUUUACUCCAGUCAUUUCGACGUAAACAUAGUCAUAUGCAUACGCGACUGUUCAUGGUAUCAUUGACGGCUAAAAGGCCACCAGGUAUUUAAAGAUGGUAAACAUGUCGCGGCGUAUGCAAUCUGCGACGGUAAGCUUGCUUUCUGAUUAAAACUCUGUUAACAUUUUGUAUAAAUCCACUCUCAAUGCUUUCCGACAAAAUACGAUUUACAGCGCUUCGACGACAAAGGCUAAAUGGAAAAGGAGAUAAGACAUACCGGAGAGGAUGGAUGUGAAGGCAAGCAGGUUAUCUGCCCGGGUGUUCCUCUACAGAGUAGCUCUCCAGUGCUCGCCUUGUCACAGCCAUGCUGCACUUAAUCUAGUGCGUUUGGAUCGGCCAUUGAUUUUCCCAUGCGCUAGUAAAUGACGUCACAUUCGCCAUGUUUAUUAUGCAAUCUGGAUUUAGGACUAAUGGCUGUUGGGAAUCGAUAGUAACAACGCCCUAUCCGUUAUAUGGUCCAAAAAUUAACAAACAACAAAGCUCAAAGUAAAAGUAAAUAUACUUAGUAUGCUUCAGAAGUCACUAGCCGAUAGAAUGGAAGAAUUUUACAGGCACCAUCAAAAUGCUUACGGUCACUUUGUCAACAUAAAAAUGUUGCCUUUUCAGAGGUAUUCAUAAAGUGCCUCGUAAUUUUUAUAAUAAACGGCGAGGAAAAGGGCUGGGUUUUUGCUCCAGGGCCGUUCUCCAAGAGGCAAGCAUACCUGCUCAUCCUAAGAUAUGAAUUCUAAUGAGCCUGGCCGGGUUAGAGCUUAAUUUCAGCUCUAUCCCUCACACCCCUAUAUUUCACCCCCGAUCGCCUUCCAUGGCAUUAUAUGUCUCUUAUAUAUACAGGUGUAUGGAAUACGCACGUAACAGGAGAUAAGUCACGGAGCCGAGCCGACUGUCCACAGGUCUUGGAGGGGUUCGGCCAGUCCACGGCCCUCCUCAGACGGUACUCCCGCCAGCUGGGCUAUCCUGUUUAGCGGACACUGUCCCUGUCACACGCGCAUUACAUCAGCGCGAUUACGAGCAAUGGGCCAGCAGCGCUGUGUGUCGUUUUGACAGACAAACCUCCACUCUGCCAACUCGCCCUUCAAUUCGCUCACUACUGCUGCCUUUACACUCCGUCACUGCCAUGUCCCCAUCUGAACUGUUACCGGAUCAUUUGACAUUGCCAGUGCCGCUACACUUCGCCCCGUACUCUCCUUCCAAGCUUUACUAUGAAAUACACUGUUGUGUACAGCGUACUAAUACACUGCUGGCUCAGGGGUUGAAGUUGGCUCGCCGGAGCAGCCACGUAAUCAUCCAAGGCUUGUCGGCGGCGUGAGGCGAUUGUAUAACUGCAGCCUAAAUCAAUUCAGCGACGCUGUGAGCUGAGGGAGGGAAGUCUGGCGAGGUACUUGUGUUUUGCCGUCCCUCCGUAUCGGGCCGUGUGUCUGGGGACCUGUCUAGCUCCGCAGCUACACACACCAUUACGUCAGUCUGGCUUACCCGCCAGUCAUAUCCAGGGAACUCCUCGCACUCACUGCCAUUACUCCCCGACUCCAUGCGUCCCGUCCCUCUCCUGUCUGCCCCGACCAUUGUUUCCUUUCCGCCUCAGUAACGUUUAUGCGCACCUUUGCUCGUUGUGUUCUCAGUUCGGGAUUAAGGGUAUGAAGGUAACUGGUGGUGGCUGAUUGGCUUUGCUGUCAGACUUACCUGAGCUCCCUGGGUGACGCGACACUAGCUUACAGCCUCUGUUUUGUUCAUACCUGUAGACUCACAAAAUCGAUGAGUGUCCACAAUUGUGCGCUGUCUGGGUCAAGUGUGUUCACUAAACUAUGCGCGCUGUGCUUAGUUAGAGAUGGUGCCGCACCUUACCUGACAAACCUAACCUGACGGACUCGCCUCCCUGCGCAAGAUAAUUCACAAUUUAAUCCACCGGAAAACCAACUGGUUUUUCAGCUCCUCGGAUUCUUUACCACGGAUCAUUUAGGGCACCAGAUUACCUCGAUUCCGUGCAAUUUCAAAGAGGAGAGCUGUAUAAGAAGGAUUCAGUUACUAUAGCCACCUGUCCAGAAAAACACUUCAUGCACACGAUGAAGAGGUGUGGCAGAUGGGGAGCUCGCGCAGCUGUCGUCACCCUGACCCCUUACACGAAACUGUUCGUUAGGGACCAUUAUGGAUGUCCUGAAGGUCCCAGAAAUUUGUAUGAUACAAUUAGGCUGGAGGCUUGCGACAGGACGGAUUAUACAGACUGCCUAUUGAAGGUGAAAUGGAAGUGGUUGGCAGUCGGGUCAUCUCCACUGGGAUUAUUCAUCUUGUGAUAGUGCAGCAUGCGCUCAACUCCCUGAGAGUUUUCAUCAUAUCUCCCAGAAGAUCUGUCAAUGAGAAGAGACAGUGAUAUGUGCCAACUUUAGUCCAUGAUGAUAGUUGUUGUCCAGGUUGUCCAGUAGACAGACUGGUGAAUGAUGGAGGCAAUGUAUAUGUGAUGAACAGAGUUGCUAACUGGCCGUUUUGUGAACUGCCUUGACCACAGUAGAAGUCUAGCCUGAUCCGAGUAUGCUCUUUCUGAAGAAGGCUGUGGAUUGUUGGUGAGGGCCAUAGUGCUUCAUGUAUGAGCUACUGCAGAUCAGAGCAGCAGUCCCAGGGGCUGUGUCUUUGCCAAGUGGGUCUAGGGUGGCCAGUUUGUGAUUCAGGGCUGGGUAUCCUCUACCAGUCAGCCUGCACAGAGUGGCCAGUCUGUAAUUGUGGACUGGACUUGAGAACUUUACCACAACCUAGAUAUACAUCUGUAAGAGAAUAUAGAGGCCUGUGUGGAAAUGUGAUUCUGAUGACAGACUGAAGGGGCUAGCUUCCUCCACCAGGUGAGUGUUUCCCAGGUCCUACUGCAUGGAUGUGUUAACCUGUACUCACAACACUCAGAUUACAGUAUCGUGGUAACAUGGGUAUAGUUUGCUGAUACAUUUUAAGAUUAUACGUUUAAGCCAGGAUACUUGUAGUAGCUUGUAUUUUUCUCUCUUGCUUGCUUGCACACUUGUGGCAUUUUAUUGUUUUGUGCAUGUACUUAGUUUGAUAAAUUAAAGAUCGAACAAAUAUCCGUACGGUCUUUUGCUUUGUUCUUUUAAAAUAUUCAUCUGUAAUAUAGGGGAUAAAGAUUGACAGAAAAUUCAGUGUUGGAGAGAAGGGUUGAUUAACUGUGUGCGUUAUUAGAAGCUUUCACAUCUGGCAGAAGUACAUCCCCCUGAGGAGCCCCUGGUCAGGACACAGUCUGAGUGUCAGUAGUGCUCUCCCUCAGGUCAGCUAUUCUUGCUGGUCAGUGCUGGUCAGCCCUGCCUUGUGGUCAGUUUGGAGGUCACUCAGGGUCGGUCAUCUUCUGGCUGGCUGGCUGGCUGGCUGGCUGUCUGGGCAGGAGGUUGACACAAGGGAGAGUCCAUAAGGAGAGCUGUCUAGGGGGAGCAACAUGCAGGCAGUGCACACAACCUGGGUGACUAGGCCCACUACACUGGGAUACCACCCAGGGGCUGUAAUGCCCAGUCGGACAGGGACAAGUACUGAUAUUCUCCAACCCAGACAGGUUUGCAGCAGAUAAAUCUAUUAUUGCUGUUACGCCUUUGACACAGUUGCCAAGGAAAGAUAAGUAGAGGCGGGUCAUUGGUGUGGUCACUCAAUUAGUCCAGAAUCAGCUACGCUUGCCAAGACUCCUUCCCAUCAAUGACCAUAGCCCAGCAUCCCUGCCAUGUAGCCAAGUCAGGGGGAUAAUAUAAGAGCGUCUAUUAGGUGUGAGGCCUUGCCUUGUUGAGGCUUAUCAGAGAAAGGAGAGUUAGUACAUGCAUUAGGCUGAUGUGUCCACUACACUUCCUGUUAACUUUAUUUUUAGGCAAGUCAAAGUGAAAAAAGUACUCCAUUCUAGUCAGUGACUUCUGAUAGGUAGAGGAGAAAAGAGCGUGGCUCAUCUGUCAAGAAGACUGGCACAUGCUCUAGACAUUUCACUUCUCCUGCCCUUUGGCAACUUAAACACUUUAGAUAGGUAUAAAAACAACUAUUGCUCAACAUUCAUCAUAAUACAGAACUAUUUUUAGACAUUUGCAUAAAGCUUGUUUCAACACUGUCUACAGAGAAUGAUAUUUAUAGAAUUUCUGUUAGAUAGAAGGUAACUCUGUUGUGUGUUUUUCCUGUUUUUACUGCCUUCUUUCCUCAUUCCCAAUUUAUCACAGUAUUUGUUUUGUGUGUUAACUGAUUUCUUUUCUUUUUUUCGUUCAAGUUAACUUAGCAGGUAUGAAUAAAUUCUUCAGAGUUUUUGUGAGUGUAACAAAGUAUGUAAACAAGUUUUGUAGGAAAUUAGCAUAUAUGUAUCCUGUGUUCUGUAAAACUUCUUUGAAUUGCAGGUACAAAUGUAAGCAGGCGUGAUUAUUUAAAGCACUGAUGAGUUAUGUCUACCUUUUUGUGCAGAAAACCCGAUAAGGGGUCAUUGUGAAGACGGAGCAGUAGUAUGCUUAUUAAUCCAUAUAAUACACGAGUGUACAUCUGACAAACGACAGGUUCAUUUCAGAGUUACACCACUUAUGUAUUGUGUUAAACUAAUUGGUGGAAUACAAGGUCUCUAAUCAACAUGAGUAACCUAGACUUACUUAAUAUUCACGUAAAUGUGGAUACAUGUGGGCUGUGUUAAGUGUGACCAUGGGCUGGUGUAAGGGAGUCCAGGUGUACUGUUGGCUAUAUUCAGUCUGGUGGGGGAUGGGGGUUAGAGAGAGGAGCUGAGGGGCCCACACUAUAGUAUCUAUACCAGUCUACCGUCCAACAUGGAUAAGUCUUCAGGGGAACCCAGCCAGCCAGCCAGCCAGCCAGCCUUCUGACAAGUGUGGGAAAGUUGUGUCCUAUAUUUUUUUUCUUUUCCCAGACAUCAACAUAUAACAGGGGGUAAAUGUGAGAAGCUGCCUGAAGGGAGU